AGCGAACGUUAGCGGCGGGCCUAACACAUGCAAGUCGAGCGAGAAAGGGACUUCGGUCCUGAGUAAAGCGGCGGACGGGUGAGAAAUACGUAGGUAACCUGCCUUUCACUGGGGGACAACGGUCCGAAAGGACCGCUAAUACCGCAUACGUCAUCCGGGACCUCGGUUCUGGAUGGGAAAGCUGGGGCAACCUGGCGGUGGAAGGGGGGCCUGGGUCGCAUCUGCUAGUUGGUGGGGUAACGGCCUACCCAGGCUAAGACGCGUAGCUGGUCUGGGAGGAUGAUCAGCCACACUGGGACUGAGACACGGCCCAGACUCCUACGGGAGGCAGCAGUGGGGAAUAUUGGACAAUGGGCGCAAGCCUGAUCCAGCCACGCCGCGUGAGUGAUGAAGGCCUUCGGGUCGUAAAGCUCUGUGGGGAGGGACGAACCGCCGGUAGUUAAUACCUAUCGGCAUGACGGUACCUCCUUAGCAAGCACCGGCUAACUUCGUGCCAGCAGCCGCCGUAACAC
rnacentral:rRNA from 1 species